GCCUGGGUGGCUCAGUUGGUUAAGCAUCUGACUUCAGCCCAGGUGAUGAUCUCACAGUUUGUGAGUUCAAGCCCCACAUCAGGCU
rnacentral:tRNA from 1 species